rnacentral:rRNA from 1 species
AACGCUGGCGACAUGCUUAACACAUGCAAGUCGAACGCUAUUUAUAGAGUGGCGCACGGGUGAGUAACGCGUGGGAAACUGCCCUUCUGAGUGGGAUAACGUUUGGAAACGAACGCUAAUACCACAUACGCCCUACGGGGGAAAGGUCCGCCGCAGAAGGAGGUGCCCGCGUCCGAUUAGCUUGUUGGUGAGGUAAUGGCUCACCAAGGCGACGAUCGGUAGCUGGUCUGAGAGGAUGAUCAGCCACACUGGGACUGAGACACGGCCCAGACUCCUACGGGAGGCAGCAGUGGGGAAUAUUGGACAAUGGGGGCAACCCUGAUCCAGCAAUGCCGCGUGUGUGAUGAAGGCCUUAGGGUUGUAAAGCACUUUCACUGGUGAAGAUUAUGACGGUAACCAGAGAAGAAGCCCCGGCUAACUUCGUGCCAGCAGCCGCGGUAAUACGAAGGGGGCGAGCGUUGUUCGGAAUUACUGGGCGUAAAGGGAGCGCAGGCGGUUCAUUUAGUCAGACGUGAAAGCCCCGGGCUCAACCCGGGAGGUGCGUUUGAUACUGGUGA